rnacentral:tRNA from 18 species
UCAUGGCCGAGUGGUUAAGGCGGUGGACUUGAAAUCC